CCUACGGGAGGCAGCAGUGAGGAAUAUUGGUCAAUGGACGAGAGUCUGAACCAUCCAAUUAUCUUUAAUUAUUACUUCCCUAUUUUUUUUAAACUUCUUUUAUAAAUUAAUAAAACGAGGCACGUGUGCCUUUUUGCAUGUACUUUAUGAAUAAGGAUCGGCUAACUCCGUGCCAGCAGCCGCGGUAAUACGGAGGAUCCGAGCGUUAUCCGGAUUUAUUGGGUUUAAAGGGAGCGUAGAUGGGUUGUUAAGUCAGUUGUGAAAGUUUGCGGCUCAACCGUAAAAUUGCAAUUGAUACUGGCAGUCUUGAGUACAGUUGAGGUAGGCGGAAUUCGUGGUGUAGCGGUGAAAUGCUUAGAUAUCACGAAGAACCCCGAUUGCGAAGGCAGCUUACUAAACUGUGACUGACAUUGAUGCUCGAAAGUGUGGGUAUCAAACAGGAUUAGAUACCCUUGUAGUC
rnacentral:rRNA from 1 species